UUAGAGUUUGAUCCUGGCUCAGGAUGAACGCUAGCGGCAGGCUUAACACAUGCAAGUCGAGGGGCAGCAUGUCCAGCAAUGGAUGAUGGCGACCGGCGGAAGGGUGCGUAACGCGUGAGCAACAUGCCCUAUACAGGGAGAUACACCAGGGAAACUUGGUCUAAUAUCCCAUAGCAUUCAUUGAAGGCAUCUUUAAUGAAUUAAAGCUUCGGUGGUAUAGGAUUGGCUCGCGUGACAUUAGCCAGAUGGUGAGGUAACGGCUCACCAUAGCAAUGAUGUCUAGGGGUUUUGAGAGGAAGGCCCCCCACACUGGGACUGAGACACGGCCCAGACUCCUACGGGAGGCAGCAGUGAGGAAUAUUGGACAAUGGAUGGAAAUCUGAUCCAGCCAUGCCGCGUGCAGGAAGACGGCCUUAUGGGUUGUAAACUGCUUUUAUACGGGAGCAAUAAGGGUUACGAGUAAUCCGAUGAGAGUACUGUAUGAAUAAGGAUCGGCUAACUCCGUGCCAGCAGCCGCGGUAAUACGGAGGAUCCGAGCGUUAUCCGGAAUUAUUGGGUUUAAAGGGUGCGUAGGCGGCCAUUUAAGUCAGCGGUGAAAUUUUGCAGCUUAACUGUAACAGUGCCGUUGAUACUGUUUGGCUAGGAUUUGGUUGUAGUGUGCGGGGUGUGUGGUGUAGCGGUGAAAUGCUUAGAUAUCACACAGAACACCGAUUGCGAAGGCAGCACACUAAGUCAUUAUUGACGCUGAGGCACGAAAGUGUGGGGAUCAAACAGGAUUAGAUACCCUGGUAGUCCACACUGUAAACGAUGAUAACUCGCUGUCGGCGAUACACAGUCGGUGGCCAAGCGAAAGCAUUAAGUGAUCCACCUGGGGAGUACGAUCGCAAGGUUGAAACUCAAAGGAAUUGACGGGGGCCCGCACAAGCGGAGGAGCAUGUGGUUUAAUUCGAUGAUACGCGAGGAACCUUACCUGGGCUAGAACGCAGAACGACGUUUCGGGAAACCGGAAUUCUCU
rnacentral:rRNA from 1 species